UUUUGUGUAUGUAUGAUCAUCAUAUAUAAAUUAUCAAUCGUUCUGGGAACAGAAAAGAGUCGAUGCCACGUCUUCUUUCCUGGGUCUCGUUCCCCAAUUUAUUGACCAGGGUGUUGGGUUGGUAACUCAGGCACUGAACUGCAUACAGUGUCUGUUUGAAGUGGCCCUAUCAAAUUUUACAGAUAUCGCAAGGAGGCUCUAUAUGAUUAUGAAGGUCUCUAUAUACUCCAACAUAAUAGACAGAAUAAGAACUCAGCCAUACUCUGUCUGCGUGAUGCAACAGAUUCAACGGAUGUUAAGUAAGCAAAUAAAAUAAAUUUGCAAAUAUAUCGUCCCAAUACCGGGCCACAGGUUCGCACUGAGACGGUCAAUUCAAUAACCGAUUUGUCAAAAGUGCCACCCGAGGUUGCACGUUCAUUUUGGCAGCAUCAAUAUGUGUGUGUCUGACUAGAUGUUCGCAUGUCUUUUGGAAUAGAAUUUGCCCCAUUAAAGGUGGUUGUGAGAUUAUCCACAAGAAUGGACUUAAGAUACAAAUCCUUCGAGUUAAAACCGAUAAUAAUAAGAAAAUUGUUGGUACAGUUGUCCCCCAUGCUGUCUAUAAUGAACUUGUUAACAAUUUGGCCUCUGAUUCCGUAAUGGAAUUUCAAAAUAUACCCAGAAGAAAAGAAUAAAACCAAUUGGCAAUGAUGUAUCCCAUUUUAUUGUCAUUUUUGCAAAGUUUA